UUUCUUCUUUUGGCGCGCUUCUUCGCCCAAAUCCCAUAAAUCCGCCGAACCGAGGGAUUUAGUAAAUCUCAAAUUUAUGCCGUAAAUCCCUAAAUCCAGGAUUUAUAGAAUCCCGGGAUUUAACGCGCGCUGUAAAACCAUUUGGCUGGAUUUAGCGUAAAUCCGACUUAAAUUCAGGAAUAAAUCCGAUACGAAGCAGCCCCUAAAUGUUUUUGCUAAUUCAUCUGGGCUUCAUACAAACCAGGUAAAAGGUUAUAUUUUGUUUUUUUUUAAUCACUUAUUCCUUCCCUGCUAUUUGUAUUCUGUUAAACAUCCUCACCCCUCUAAAAAAUUCACCUAUCUUGGCCUCCCGAUUUCUUCUUACAGGUUGAUUUCCUCUGACUUUCAGACUCUUACUCAAAAAAUGUCUGGAUUAUUAGAUGGUUUGGAAGCUCGUCUUUUGUCUUUUGCUGGAAGAUUUCAGUUCUUAAGUUUUACUAUCUAUAACACUGUUGCUUAUUGGUUAAGAGGGGUUAUUAUAUCUAAAGCUGGGAUUAAAUUCAUAAACAAGGUAUGUUCCAGAUUUUUUUCAUGGUGAUUCUUCGGGGGAAAAAUUACAUAUCCUCUUUUGGAAUGAUACUUGUAAAACCAGAUGGUUUGCGGGUCUGGGUGUACCGACAAUUCCUGCUUUGUGUCAUGGCUUUGGCUGCUCUUUAAUAUGGUGUAUAAUUAAUGGGAAGAAUCUCUUGUAUUAUGGACUGAAGCUCAAGUACAAAUCCCCUUGGAAGCAUCCUCAUGAUAGAGCUUCCAUAUAUUGGAAGCUUCUUUUCUCAGUGGCCUUGAAGAUUAAAGGUCUUUCUUUUGGCAACCAGUGGCAUUUCCUCCCCUUGGAAGGUCCCCUCGGCAACCAGGGGAACCGGCAUCCACAUGAUGAUAUCCAAUUUUUGGGUUAAUUUUGUUUCGGUCAUUCUGAGUCCUUCUAGCUUUGUUGUUAUUUGUUCCCCUUAUCUCUAAUGUCUUCUAUUUCUUUCCUUUCACUUUUUGGUUGUUUUUUAGUUUUAGGAUCACUUUUAUGUGCUCUUUUGGAUUUUGAGCUCAUAAUUUUUUGGUAGAUCAGGUUACUGGUUUCAUUUGUAUUUUCUUUUUCUUUGAACCUUUGCUCUUUGUAAUUUUUCUUUGUACUUAAAUGGAUAUGGGCUAAGCCCUCCCCCUAAUUUCCCACCAAAAAAUAAUCAAACUACUUUGUACGGCAACAUUUCUCUGC